rnacentral:rRNA from 1 species
AUACGUAGGGUGCAAGCGUUAAUCGGAAUUACUGGGCGUAAAGCGUGCGCAGGCGGUUUUGUAAGACAGAGGUGAAAUCCCCGGGCUCAACCUGGGAACUGCCUUUGUGACUGCAAGGCUAGAGUACGGCAGAGGGGGAUGGAAUUCCGCGUGUAGCAGUGAAAUGCGUAGAUAUGCGGAGGAACACCGAUGGCGAAGGCAAUCCCCUGGGCCUGUACUGACGCUCAUGCACGAAAGCGUGGGGAGCAAACAGGAUUAGAUACCCUGGUAGUCCACGCCCUAAACGAUGUCAACUGGUUGUUGGGUCUUCAUUGACUCAGUAACGAAGCUAACACGUGAAGUUGACCGCCUGGGGAGUACGGCCGCAAGGUUGAAACUUAAAGGAAUUGGCGGGG